CGGGAGCUGCAGGCAAUCAUGGCUUUCUGAUGGGUGCAUUUGGCCAAUGGGCCAAACAUAGACAUCCAGGCCUCUCAGUUUGGACUUUUGGACUCUCCCCCAGCCAGGCCAUACCCCAUUUCCCCAGGCUAUGUCCCCUCACAUCUAGUUUGUUGAUAUUCCCACCACCACCAUCCCACUCGGUCCUCCACUCACAAAUCGGAUGGAAGGAACCUUGCACAAGUUGGGGAAGGUGAAUGCCUGGAUGGAAACGUCUUCUUUUUUCUUCAUUGCAUACUGAAGAAAGGGAAAUCCAACCUGAUGGUCCUGGAAUGGCUGACCACUCCAUGACUAAGGAAAUGGACAGAGAAGUUCUGGAAGGGGAAUUACCUCCCCCAUCACAUGCCACCCACCCCAUCCUAAUCAGAGACAAGAAGUGCUGGGAGCGAUGGCAGUUGGAGAUCAGCCUGGGCAAAGAAGCCUAGUCAACACCACAGGACUGAAAACAUCUGACAGCUGAACAUAAGCCUGGUAGCCUC